UGAUCUGCUGAGUGGACUAAAGAUGGGGGAGCAAGGUAAUUGACUCUGACUCCAUUGGGCCAAUGGUGAUGACAUCACUGAGCAGGCCAGGACCAGAGAUGACAUAGUGGAGGUGAAGGACAUCUCACUGGAGGCCACAGGAGCUUUGUUAAACCAGCGGGACACAAUACAUGGAGAGAUGACCAAUCAAUCACUGUUGAUGAGGGGAGUGGAAUCUCAACCCAGCACCCUAUCAUAGAG